rnacentral:rRNA from 1 species
GACGUAGGGGGCAAGCGUUGUCCGGAUUUAUUGGGCGUAAAGAGCUCGUAGGCGGCUCAGAAAGUCGGGUGUGAAACCUCCAGGCUCAACCUGGAGACGCCACCUGAUACUGCUGUGGCUAGAGUCCGGUAGGGGAACACGGAAUUCCCGGUGUAGCGGUGAAAUGCUUAGAUAUCGGGAGGAACACCAGUGGCGAAGGCGGUGUUCUGGGCCGGAACUGACGCUGAGGAGCGAAAGCGUGGGUAGCAAACAGGAUUAGAAACCCGUAGUCC